CCUACGGGAGGCAGCAGUAGGGAAUAUUGCUCAAUGGGGGAAACCCUGAAGCAGCAACGCCGCGUGGAGGAUGAAGGUUUUCGGAUUGUAAACCCCUUUUGUUAGAGAAGAUAAUGACGGUAUCUAACGAAUAAGCACCGGCUAACUCCGUGCCAGCAGCCGCGGUAAUACGGAGGGUGCAAGCGUUACUCGGAAUAACUGGGCGUAAAGGGCGCGUAGGCGGGAUAGCAAGUCAGAUGUGAAAUCCUAUGGCUUAACCAUAGAACUGCAUUUGAAACUGUUAUUCUAGAGUAUGGGAGAGGUAGGUGGAAUUCUUGGUGUAGGGGUGAAAUCCGUAGAGAUCAAGAGGAAUACUCAUUGCGAAGGCGACCUGCUAGAACAUAACUGACGCUGAUGCGCGAAAGCGUGGGGAGCAAACAGGAUUAGAUACCCGUGUAGUC
rnacentral:rRNA from 1 species